AUAUUCAUAUUUGUUUGGAAACGAAGCUGUGUGUUAAUAAUUAUUUAAUAAAUUAUGAUUUGUACUAAAGAAAAAUCUUUAGGUGUUGUGGGAGAAAAUUUGGCCAACGUGUUGUGCUUUGGGAAUGAAGCCGAUUAGUUUUGAAUCAGUGCAGAAACUGCAAUCAGUCGGAGAGUUCUUCCAAGACUGGACUUUCAACACCAAAUUUUGGACGAGUGGCACGUUCACCGAAUGUGGAAAUUCAUCGUCUUUAACUUGGUGCUCGAUUCCAAGCAAUAAUUUCACCAAAGAAAUGUGGCACCCGAACGGAAACCAAACGGAUUCUCCUGGAACCUGCGUCAGCGCGACGGCAGAGGCGGGAAAUCAAUUUUUAUUGAGGCGUGAAUUGUGCGCCAAGCGGUUUGCUUACGCCUGCGAGGCUGUGAUGGAGAAUCCAGGUCUGCUGCUCGAAAACGGAUGUCCGUCACAACAGAGCUGCGUCAAA